rnacentral:rRNA from 1 species
AUGAACGCUGGCGGCGUGCCUAAUACCUGCCAGUCGAGCGCACGGACGAGAAGCUUGCUUCUCUGAUGUUAGCGGCGGACGGGUGAGUAACACGUGGAUAACCUACCUAUAAGACUGGGAUAACUUCGGGAAACCGGAGCUAAUACCGGAUAAUAUUUUGAACCGCAUGGUUCAAAAGUGAAAGACGGUCUUGCUGUCACUUAUAGAUGGAUCCGCGCUGCAUUAGCUAGUUGGUAAGGUAACGGCUUACCAAGGCAACGAUGCAUAGCCGACCUGAGAGGGUGAUCGGCCACACUGGAACUGAGACACGGUCCAGACUCCUACGGGAGGCAGCAGUAGGGAAUCUUCCGCAAUGGGCGAAAGCCUGACGGAGCAACGCCGCGUGAGUGAUGAAGGUCUUCGGAUCGUAAAACUCUGUUAUUAGGGAAGAACAUAUGUGUAAGUAACUGUGCACAUCUUGACGGUACCUAAUCAGAAAGCCACGGCUAACUACGUG